AAAGGGAGUAGAAUCACCCUGACAGACUUGGACACUCAAGCUGGAGAUAAGGUCCACUUUCUUGAAGUAUGGAUAUCAAACAACAUCAGGAUUCUGCUAGCAGGAUCCCACCCUCAACAGUGCAAAAUGCCACCCAUCCACAAGACCCCCAUUCUCCAGACAGAACACAGCUCAGGACUCAGCCGGCGUGGGAGGAGCCACGGUUGCCUUGCUAAGGAUCUCAAGGCUGCCAUGACAGAAGAAAGGCCAUGUGAGGAUGAAGAAAGAAGGCAGCAGUCUGCAAGUGGGGAACAGGGGCCGCCCCAGAAAGCAACCUCCAUGGCACCUUGAUCUUGAACUUGUAGCCUCCAGCAUGGUGAGACAAUAAAUUCCUGUUGUUUAAGCCACUCUGCCUGUGGUAUCUGCUACGGCAGCCCAAGCUG
ensembl:lncRNA